rnacentral:misc_RNA from 1 species
UUUACUGUUUCAGGAAUACAGGUAUUGCCUGCACAAACAAAAUUGCUUGGCUGUUGCUUGUUAUGAUGUUUAGAACCUUUUGGUUAUCUGUUUCUUUGAGGUUGAAAUAUAGGUGUAAUACUAACUUUAGUUGGUCACUUAAAUGUUCUGAAUUUUAUGUUUUUUCAAUGGAACUUUAGAAGAAUUGACAGUUGACUCAUUAGAACCAUUUUGGUUAUGGAUACUGAGUAACUAUUUAUAGGAGGUGUAUGUGUGUAACUGUUCAUAUUUGGUGCAUAAUGCAUUUUCUUAUUCUAAUUGUAGAAAAAAACUAGUCAAUAAGAGAGUCCAUGUACUAUGAAGUUUGCCUGUUGAUAACAUUUUUGAAAUUCACAAUUUUGUCAACCGUUCUCAGCAACUUGUUUUAAUUGAGCAAGUUGUAGGUAAUUUUACUUCACUUAAAUGGGAUUUUGUAGGUUCGGUACCUGAAGAUUAUUG